AUCGCUUCUCGGCCUUUUGGCUAAGAUCAAGUGUAGUAUCUGUUCUUAUCAGUUUAAUAUCUGAUACGUGCCCUACCCGGGCACCAUAUAUUAAAAUUGAUUUUUGGAAUUGGGAGAUGGAAUAGGGGCUUGCUCCGUCCACUCCACGCAUCGACCCGGUAAUUGCAGUACCUCCGGGAACGGUGCACCCCCC
rnacentral:snRNA from 1 species